rnacentral:rRNA from 1 species
AUGAACGCUAGCUACAGGCUUAACACAUGCAAGUCGAGGGGCAGCAUGGUCUUAGCUUGCUAAGGCCGAUGGCGACCGGCGCACGGGUGAGUAACACGUAUCCAACCUGCCGUCUACUCUUGGACAGCCUUCUGAAAGGAAGAUUAAUACAAGAUGGCAUCAUGAGUCCACAUGUUCACAUGAUUAAAGGUAUUCCGGUAGACGAUGGGGAUGCGUUCCAUUAGAUAGUAGGCGGGGUAACGGCCCACCUAGUCUUCGAUGGAUAGGGGUUCUGAGAGGAAGGUCCCCCACAUUGGAACUGAGACACGGUCCAAACUCCUACGGGAGGCAGCAGUGAGGAAUAUUGGUCAAUGGGCGAGAGCCUGAACCAGCCAAGUAGCGUGAAGGAUGACUGCCCUAUGGGUUGUAAACUUCUUUUAUAAAGGAAUAAAGUCGGGUAUGCAUACCCGUUUGCAUGUACUUUAUGAAUAAGGAUCGGCUAACUCCGUGCCAGCAGCCGCGGUAAUACGGAGGAUCCGAGCGUUAUCCGGAUUUAUUGGGUUUAAAGGGAGCGUAGAUGGAUGUUUAAGUCAGUUGUGAAAGUUUGCGGCUCAACCGUAAAAUUGCAGUUGAUACUGGAUAUCUUGAGUGCAGUUGAGGCAGGCGGAAUUCGUGGUGUAGCGGUGAAAUGCUUAGAUAUCACGAAGAACUCCGAUUGCGAAGGCAGCCUGCUAAGCUGCAACUGACAUUGAGGCUCGAAAGUGUGGGUAUCAAACAGGAUUAGAUACCCUGGUAGUCCACACCGUAAACGAUGGAUACUAGGUGUAGGGUGUGAUAAACAUUCUGUGCCGUCGCAAACGCAAUAAGUAUCCCACCUGGGGAGUACGCCGGCAACGGUGAAACUCAAAGGAAUUGACGGGGGCCCGCACAAGCGGAGGAACAUGUGGUUUAAUUCGAUGAUACGCGAGGAACCUUACCCGGGCUUAAAUUGCAGAUGAAUUACGGUGAAAGCCGUAAGCCGCAAGGCAUCUGUGAAGGUGCUGCAUGGUUGUCGUCAGCUCGUGCCGUGAGGUGUCGGCUUAAGUGCCAUAACGAGCGCAACCCUUGUUGUCAGUUACUAACAGGUUCUGCUGAGGACUCUGACAAGACUGCCAUCGUAAGAUGUGAGGAAGGUGGGGAUGACGUCAAAUCAGCACGGCCCUUACGUCCGGGGCUACACACGUGUUACAAUGGGGGGUACAGAGGGCCGCUACCACGCGAGUGGAUGCCAAUCCCAAAAACCUCUCUCAGUUCGGACUGGAGUCUGCAACCCGACUCCACGAAGCUGGAUUCGCUAGUAAUCGCGCAUCAGCCACGGCGCGGUGAAUACGUUCCCGGGCCUUGUACACACCGCCCGUCAAGCCAUGGGAGCCGGGGGUACCUGAAGUGCGUAACCGCGAGGAGCGCCCUAGGGUAAAACUGGUGACUGGGGCU